rnacentral:rRNA from 1 species
AGCGAACGCUGGCGGCAGGCCUAACACAUGCAAGUCGAGCGGCCGUAGCAAUACGGCAGCGACAGACGGGAGAGUAACACGUGGGAACGCGCCCUUCGGUUCGGGAUAACUCAGGGAAACUUGGGCUAAUACCGGAUACGCCCUUACGGGGAAAGAUUUAUUGCCGAAGGAACGGCCCGCGUCCGAUUAGCUUGUUGGUGAGGUAACGGCUCACCAAGGCGACGAUCGGUAGCUGGUCUGAGAGGAUGACCAGCCUCACUGGGACUGAGACACGGCCCAGACUCCUACGGGAGGCAGCAGUGGGGAAUAUUGGACAAUGGGCGCAAGCCAGUUCCAGCCAUGCCGCGUGGGGGAUGAAGGCGCUAGGGUUGGAAAGCCCGUUCAGCGGGGAGGAUAAUGACGGUACCCGCAGAAGAAGCCCCGGCUAACUUCGUGCCAGCCGCCGCUGUAAAAC